AUUGAACGCUGGCGGAAUGCUUUACACAUGCAAGUCGAACGGCAGCACGGGGCAACCUGGUGGCGAGUGGCGAACGGGUGAGUAAUACAUCGGAACGUGCCCAAUCGUGGGGGAUAACGUAGCGAAAGUUACGCUAAUACCGCAUACGAUCUACGGAUGAAAGCGGGGGAUCGCAAGACCUCGCGCGAAUGGAGCGGCCGAUGUCAGAUUAGGUAGUUGGUGGGGUAAAGGCUCACCAAGCCGACGAUCUGUAGCUGGUCUGAGAGGACGACCAGCCACACUGGGACUGAGACACGGCCCAGACUCCUACGGGAGGCAGCAGUGGGGAAUAUUAGAAAUGGACGAAAGUCUGAUCUAGCAACACCGCGUGUGCGAAGAAGGCCUUCGGGUCGUAAGCACUUUUGGAAGGAAUAGGAAGGAAUGUACUUCCAGAAUAAGUCUCGGCUAACUACGUG
rnacentral:rRNA from 1 species